AUUGAACGCUGGCGGCAGGCCUAACACAUGCAAGUCGAACGGUAACAGGAAACAGCUUGCUGUUUCGCUGACGAGUGGCGGACGGGUGAGUGAUGUCUGGGAAACUGCCUGAUGGAGGGGGAUAACGACUGGAAACGGUAGCUAAUACCGCAUAACGUCGCAAGAUCAAAGAGGGGGACCUUCUGGCCGCUUGCCAUCGGAUGUGCCCAGAUGGGAUUAGCUACUAGGUGGGGUAACGGCGACCCGAGGCGACGAUCCCUAGCUGGUCUGAGAGGAUGACCAGCCACACGGGAACUGAGAAACGGUCCAGACCCCUACGGGAGGCGGAAGUGGGGAAUAUUGCACAAUGGGGGCAAGCUUGCUGCAGCAAUGCCGCGUGUAUGAAGAAGGCCUUCGGGUUGUAAAGUACUUUCAGCGGGGAGGAAGGGAGUAAAGUUAAUACCUUUACUCAUUGACGUUACCCGCAGAAGAAGCACCGGCUAACUCCGUG
rnacentral:rRNA from 1 species